rnacentral:rRNA from 1 species
AGUGAACGCUGGCGGCAGGCCUAAUACAUGCAAGUCGAACGGCAGCACGGCAGAGCUUGCUCUGUGGGUGGCGAGUGGCGGACGGGUGAGGAAUACAUGGGAAUCUGCCCAGUCGUGGGGGAUAACGUAGGGAAGCUUACGCUAAUACCGCAUGCGCCCUUCGGGGGAAAGCCGGGGACCUUCGGGCCUGGCGCGAUUGGAUGAGCCCAUGUCGGAUUAACUAGUUGGCGGGGUAAUGGCCCACCAAGGCGACGAUCCGUAGCUGGUCUGAGAGGAUGAUCAGCCACACUGGAACUGAGACACGGUCCAGACUCCUACGGGAGGCAGCAGUAGGGAAUAUUGGACAAUGGGCGCAAGCCUGAUCCAGCCAUGCCGCGUGAGUGAAGAAGGCCCUCGGGUUGUAAAGCUCUUUUGUCCGGAAAGAAAAGCGCCGGGUUAAUACCCCUGGUGUCCUGACGGUACCGGAAGAAUAAGCACCGGCUAACUUCGUGCCAGCAGCCGCGGUAAU